rnacentral:rRNA from 1 species
CGUAGGUGGCAAGCGUUGUCCGGAUUACUGGGCGUAAGGGAGCGUAGGCGGAUUUAAGUGAGAUGUGAAUACUCAGGCUCAACCUGGGCUGCAUUUCAAACUGGAAGUCUAGAGUGCAGGAGAGGAGAGUGGAAUUCCUAGUGUAGCGGUGAAAUGCGUAGAGAUUAGGAAGAACACCAGUGGCGAAGGCGACUCUCUGGACUGUAACUGACGCUGAGGCUCGAAAGCGUGGGAGCAAACAGGAUU